rnacentral:rRNA from 1 species
UACGAAGGGUGCAAGCGUUAAUCGGAAUUACUGGGCGUAAAGCGUGCGUAGGCGGUUUGUUAAGUCUGUUGUGAAAUCCCCGGGCUCAACCUGGGAAUUGCGUUGGAGACUGCAAGGCUAGAAUCUGGCAGAGGGGGGUAGAGUUCCACGUGUAGCAGUGAAAUGCGUAGAGAUGUGGAGGAACACCGAUGGCGAAGGCAGCCCCCUGGGUCAAGAUUGACGCUCAUGCACGAAAGCGUGGGGAGCAAACG